GUGAAUCAUCGAAUCUUUGAACGCACCUUGCGCUCCUUGGUAUUCCGAGGAGCAUGCCUGUUUGAGUGUCAUUAAAUUCUCAACCUCACCAGUUUUGUAACGAGACAGGUGAAGGCUUGGAUGUGGGGGUUUUGCAGGCUGCCUCAGUGCUGGUCUGCUCCCCUGAAAUGCAUUAGCGAGCUCAUAUUGAGCUUCCGUCUAUUGGUGUGAUAAUUAUCUACGCCGUGGAUUGGACUCAUGCUUGCUUCUAACCGUCCGCAAGGACAAUUUACUUGACCAAUUUGACCUCAAAUCAGGUAGGACUACCCGCUGAACUUAA
rnacentral:rRNA from 1 species